GAAAUGCGAUAAGUAAUGUGAAUUGCAGAAUUCAGUGAAUCAUCGAAUCUUUGAACGCACCUUGCGCCCGCCCGCACUCUGGCGGGCAUGCCUGUUCGAGCGUCAUUUCAACCAUCAAGCCCCCGGGCUUGCGUUGGGGACCUGCGGCUGCCCGCAGGCCCUGAAAACCAGUGGCGGGCUCGCUGUCACCCCGGUCGUAGUAGUAUCAUCUCGUCCAGGGCGUGGCUGCGGGCUCCGGCUGUUAAACCUUCCCAAACCCAAAGGUUGACCUCGAAUCACGUUGGACUCCCCCCUGAACUUAA
rnacentral:misc_RNA from 1 species